GGAGGAAAGAAACCAACAGGGAUUGCCCUAGUAACGGCGAGUGAAGCGGCAACAGCUCAAAUUUGAAAUCUGGCUCCUUUGGGGUCCGAGUUGUAAUUUGCAGAGGGAGCUUUUGGCGUCGGUCGUGGUCUAAGUUCCUUGGAACAGGACGUCACAGAGGGUGAGAAUCCCGUACGUGGCCGCCGGCCUUCGCCUUGUAAAGCCCCUUCGACGAGUCGAGUUGUUUGGGAAUGCAGCUCUAAAUGGGAGGUAAAUUUCUUCUAAAGCUAAAUACCCGCCAGAGACCGAUAGCGCACAAGUAGAGUGAUCGAAAGAUGAAAAGCACUUUGGAAAGGGAGUGAAAAAGCACGUGAAAUUGUUGAAAGGGAAGCGCUUGCGGCCAGACGUGCCCGCGGUUGAUCAUCCAGGCUCCAGCCUGGUGCACUCCUCCGCGGGCAGGCCAGCAUCAGUUCGGGCGGUCGGAUAAAGGCCUCUAUCACGUACCACCCCUCGGGGUGGCCUUAUAGGGGAGGCGCAACACGGCCAGCCCGGACUGAGGUUCCGCGCAUCUGCUAGGAUGCUGGCGUAAUGGCAGCAAGCGGCCCGUCUUGAAACACGGACCAAGGAGUCUAACAUCUAUGCGAGUGUUUGGGUGUCAAGCCCGAGCGCGCAAUGAAAGUGAACGGAGGUGGGAACCCUUACCGGUGCACCAUCGACCGAUCCUGAUGUCUUCGGAUGGAUUUGAGUAAGAGCAUAGCUGUUGGGACCCGAAAGAUGGUGAACUAUGCCUGAAUAGGGUGAAGCCAGAGGAAACUCUGGUGGAGGCUCGCAGCGGUUCUGACGUGCAAAUCGAUCGUCAAAUU
rnacentral:rRNA from 1 species